GAUGUGGUUCAAGAGAUAGAGGUCAAAAUAGACGUAAUUACUUUAUAAGUAGGUAUCGUUUGGUUCGGAUAUAAACAAGAACUAGCUAUUACAGGGAUAGGUACACGUAUGGAGAUAAGAAAAAUAGUGUUUGGAUGAAAAUUGGGUUGUUUUCGGGGAUAAGAACAAAUUUAGAUAGUUUUAUAUAAAAAAUGAAGGUGUUGGUGGGAAUAACCGAGAACUUCUAUUUUCGGAUAAAAAAUUAGCGUUUAGGUAUAAUGAAAGGGAUAAGGGCCUAUUCCUAUUUUUAUCCCCUAACCAAACGCUGCUUUAGGAUUUAGGAUUUACUCAAGUUCUUCUCGAUCCUACUUUCUGAAUUUAAUUUACUUGUUAGUCGAUAUUUAGGUGUAUUGCUCUACUUGGACUGUCAUUCGUAUUUUUCUGUUCUAUUUUGUUUUGAAGAUACGUUUGUUUUUUUUUUUUAAAAAAAUUACUAAUUUUAUUAUUCAGAU
rnacentral:lncRNA from 1 species